CGCAUCUGUGCAUGCAGCAUAUCAAUAAGCGGAGGAAAAGAAACUAACAAGGAUUCCCCUAGUAACGGCGAGUGAAGCGGGAAGAGCUCAAAUUUGAAAUCUUAAAGGGUUUCCCUUUACGAAUUGUAGUUUAAAGAAGUGUUUUCUGUUGAGGUUUUGGUAAAAGUUCUUUGGAAUAGGACAUCAUAGAGGGUGAGAAUCCCGUAUUUGACCUUUACUUUCAACUUUGUGAUACACUUUCAAAGAGUCGGAUUGUUUGGGAAUGCAGUCCAAAAUGGGUGGUAAAUUUCAUCUAAAGCUAAAUAUUGGCGAGAGACCGAUAGCGAACAAGUACCGUGAGGGAAAGAUGAAAAGAACUUUGAAGAGAGAGUUAAACAGUACGUGAAAUUGUCAAAAGGGAAGCGUUUGACACCAGUGUUGUUUUUCUGAAAAUCAAUUAAAGAACUGUUUAUGCUAAGUUGUUUAGACUUUAUCAGCUAACUGUUUAGUUUUGAGCUUUUCUUUAAUGCACUUUUCAGUUAACAAGUCAACAUCAAUUUCUUUUGCUUGUAAAAAAGCUUGAGGAAGGUGGCUUGAGAUUCGUCUUAAGUGUUUAUAGCCUCUUGCCUAUGCAGUCGGAGAGAUUGAGGUCUGCAGCGUAGAUCCUUCGGGGCUAAAUGCAUUUGUGCUAAGUUAUAGCAUUUUAUAGACAACUUGUUGACUAUGAUUUGUCUUGUAGCUUACUCGCUUAUGUUAUUUUACCUACGCUUAGGAUGUUGAGUCAUCACACAUCUCU
rnacentral:rRNA from 1 species